rnacentral:tRNA from 1 species
GCCUGGGUGGCUCAGUCAGUUGAGCAUCCGACUUUGGCUCAGGUCAUGAUCUCAUGGUUCGUGGGUUCGAGCCCUGCAUCAGGCU